rnacentral:rRNA from 1 species
GCGAGAAACCUCCGCAAUACACGAAAGUGUGACGGGGUUACCCAAAGUGUUCAUUAGAACUGUGGUAGGUGAGUAAUGUUCCCCACUAGAAAGGAGAGGGCAAGGCUGGUGCCAGCCGCCGCGGUAAAACCAGCUCUUCAAGUGGUCGGGAUAAUUAUUGGGCUUAAAGUGUCCGUAGCCGGUUUAGUAAGUUCCUGGUAAAAUCGGGUAGCUUAACUAUCUAUAUGCUAGGAAUACUACUAUACUAGAGGGCGGGAGAGGUCUGAGGUACUACAGGGGUAGGG